CCUACGGGAGGCUGCAGUGGGGAAUAUUGGACAAUGGGGGGAACCCUGAUCCAGCCAUGCCGCGUGUGUGAAGAAGGCCCUCGGGUUGUAAAGCACUUUCAGUGAGGAAGAACGCCUGGUGGUUAAUACCCAUCAGGAAAGACAUCACUCACAGAAGAAGCACCGGCUAACUCCGUGCCAGCAGCCGCGGUAAUACGGAGGGUGCGCGCGUUAAUCGGAAUUACUGGGCGUAAAGCGCGCGUAGGUGGCUUGAUAAGCCGGUUGUGAAAGCCCCGGGCUCAACCUGGGAACGGCAUCCGGAACUGUCAAGCUAGAGUGCAGGAGAGGAAGGUAGAAUUCCCGGUGUAGCGGUGAAAUGCGUAGAGAUCGGGAGGAAUACCAGUGGCGAAGGCGGCCUUCUGGACUGACACUGACACUGAGGUGCGAAAGCGUGGGUAGCAAACAGGAUUAGAUACCCUAGUAGUC
rnacentral:rRNA from 1 species